CUCCUUCUCCUCAAAAAGAUCGAUGCGAUCCCCCACCACGUUGUCCAAGACCUGACAGGAGUCCUCCAGGUGAAUGUCCUCCAAAGUGUAUUUAUGAGUAUGAAACUGUUAACGGAAAACGUUGUAAAGUGGGAUGUCACCUUGGGGAAAAGGGACCACUGGUACAACAAGGAGAAAGGUGUCCACCGAGAAUGUGUCAAGACGUAGAAAAUGAACCAAUAGGACCGCGAGAUCCAGUAGAGAGAACACCAUCACCUGCUUUUAUAAAGCGCGACAACUGUCCACCGAAUUCUGACGACAGGAUUUGCUAUUAUUAUGACAGGAAAUGUACGGAUGAUUCAUCGUGUGCGAAGGGAAAGAAGUGUUGUAAACAGGGAUGCAGUCAUGUUUGUGUUAAAUCAGUGUAAAGAUGACCGUGAAACAUUUAUACG